rnacentral:rRNA from 1 species
CCUACGGGCGGCAGCAGUGGGGAAUAUUGGGCAAUGGAGGCAACUCUUAACCAGCAAUGCCGCGUGAAUGAAGAAGGUCUACGGAUUGUAAAGUUCUUUAAUUGGGGACGAAAAAAAUGAAGGUACCCAAGGAAUAAGCCACGGCUAACUACGUGCCAGCAGCAGCGGUAAGACGCAGGGGGCAAGCGUUGUUCGGAAUGACUGGGCGUAAAGGGUGUGUAGGCGGGGUAGCAAGUUAGAAGUGAAAUACCUAGGGCUUAACUCAGGUGCUGCUUCUAAAACUGCUAUACUUGAGUGCAGUAGAGGAAAGUGGAAUUCCUAGUGUAGCGGUGGAAUGCGUAGAUAUUAGGAGGAACAUCAGUGGCGAAGGCGACUGUCUGGACUGUAACUGACGCUGAGGCACGAAAGUGUGGGGAUCAAACAGGAUUAGAUACCCCAGUAGUC